UCAAUUGGAAAAAAAGAGAAGAUUAGGGCACAGAAACACAGAUGGAGGGACACCAUGUGAAGACACAAGAAAAAGGUGGCCAUUAGCAAGCCAAGGAGAGAGGCCUCAGAAGAAAACCAACCUUUUAACACCUUGAUCUUGGACUACUAGCCUCCAGAACUAUGAGAAAAUAAAUUUCUGCGCUUAAGUUGCAAUUUCAUCUGCACAGAAAAAGAACUCUGGUAGCUUCUGCCAGACUUUCAGUAGGAAAUGCUUUAAAAACAAGCAACAGCUAUUUUGAGGACCGACUUUCUAAAAUUAUAUUCAGGAUCAAGCGGCUGUAACAUUGCCGUUCGCCGCCGAGGCUCCUGGUUUCAGCAUGUCUCCUUGGUUCCCGGCCAGCCUGGGUGUUCAGGUGGCAGCUGUGCCUGGGAGUGCCUCUCCAGCCCGCAUUCCUUGGCCAUGAAUUUUGCAGCCCUGCUUAUCUGAUGAAGACCUCCCUAGGAGGCAUCUCUACUCUUUUCCAGCUUGCUAAGGACACAGUGGGGAGAUGAUGAGCCAGGAAGAUUGCUCUCAUUGGAACCCCAAUGCUGGCACCCUGAUCUUGGAUGUCCAGUCACCUGAACUAUGAAAAAAUAAACUUCUGUUGUUUAAGCACCCAAUCUAUGGGAUUUUGUUAUGACAGCCAGAGCUGACUGAUACAAUCUCUCAGAUUUA